AUUGAACGCUGGCGGCAGGCCUAACACAUGCAAGUCGAGCGGAUGAAGGGAGCUUGCUCCUGGAUUCAGCGGCGGACGGGUGAGUAAUGCCUAGGAAUCUGCCUGGUAGUGGGGGAUAACGUCCGGAAACGGGCGCUAAUACCGCAUACGUCCUGUGGGAGAAAGUGGGUGAUCUUCGGACCUCACGCUAUCAGAUUAGCCUAGGUCUGUUGAGCUAGUUGGUGGGGUAAAUGCCUACCAAGGCUACGAUCCGUAACUGGUCUGAGAGGAUGAUCAGUCACACUGGAACUGAGACACGUCACCGACUCCUGGAGGAGGAAGCAGUGGGGAAUAUUGGGCGAGGGGGGAAAGCCUGAUACAGCCAUGCCGCGUGUGUGAAGAAGGUCUUCGGAUGGUAAAGCACUUUAAGUUGGGGGGAAGGGCAGUAAGUUAAUACCUUGCUGUUUUGACGUUACCGACAGAAUAAGCACCGGCUAACUUCGUG
rnacentral:rRNA from 1 species